rnacentral:rRNA from 1 species
GUGGAUGUGCCCGAAAGGGAACCUGAACACAGGUGCUGCAUGGCUGCUCGCUCAGCUCGAUGUCGUGAGAUGUUGGGUUAAGUCCCGCAACGAGCGCAACCCUUGUCAUUAGUUGCUACAUUUAGUUGGGCACUCUAAUGAGACUGCCGGUGACAAACCGGAGGAAGGUGGGGAUGACGUCAAGUCCUCAUGGCCCUUAUGGGUAGGGCCUCACACGUCAUACAAUGGCGCAUACAGAGGGUUGCCAACCCGCGAGGGGGAGCCAAUCCCAGAAAGUGCGUCGUAGUCCGGAUCGGAGUCUGCAACUCGACUCCGUGAAGUCGGAAUCGCUAGUAAUCGCGGAUCAGCAUGUCGCGGUGAAUACGUUCCCGGGUCUUGUAC